UACGGAGGGUGCAAGCGUUAUUCGGAAUUACUGGGCGUAAAGCGCACGCAGGCGGCUGCUUAAGUCAGAUGUGAAAGCCCCGGGCUUAACCUGGGAACUGCAUUUGAAACUGGGUGGCUAGAGUAUGAAAGAGGAAAGCGGAAUUUCCAGUGUAGCAGUGAAAUGCGUAGAUAUUGGAAGGAACACCGAUGGCGAAGGCAGCUUUCUGGGUCGAUACUGACGCUCAUGUGCGAAAGCGUGGGGAGCAAACAGG
rnacentral:rRNA from 1 species